rnacentral:rRNA from 1 species
GCUUUAUACUAUUAAUAAUUUUAGAAGAUUUAGACAAUUAAAUUUUAAAAUUAUUUUAGUAUUGUGCUGGGGCGGCAUGGAUAUUUCAAAGCAACUGUUUAAAGUUUAUAACACUUGUAUGUGUAGUUUAAUUGAUCCUUGGUAGAGAUUAAAAGAUAAAGUU